UACGUGUCUCAGUUGGAGCUGGACGGGCACAGCGGCUAGUGAAUUUCAGGAUGACUGACACUACUAACGCUACUCCAAAUUUUGAAGAGAUGUUUGCAAACAGAUUCACAGAAGAUGACAAAGAAUACCAAGAAUAUUUGAAACACCCUCCUGAAUCCCCUCCAGUUAUUGAGGAAUGGAAUAACAGAGCUGGUGGGAACCAAAGAAACAGAGGCAAUCGGUUGCAAGAUAACAGACAGUUUAGAAGUAGGGACAGCAGACGAGGGUGGCCAACUGACAAUCGAUCAGACCAGUGGCAUGGAAGAUCCUGGGGUAACAAUUACCCGCAGCACAGACAAGAGCCUUAUUAUCCACAGCAAUAUGGACAAUAUGGUUAUAACCAGUGGCCUCCCUACAGUUACUACUGAUAGAAAUAUUGGCAACAUCUUUUAGUAAAACCAUUUACUUUGUUAAUAUAACAAAAACUCGUGUGUGUCCUGUUGAUCAUAGUUUUCCAUCUCAUUUUAGAGAAUGGAUUAUUAAUGUUUUAGAACUUGAGACUUUUUUAAAAAUAGAUCUUACAGAGAGAUCUAAUGGUUGCUGGGAAUAACUACUCCCCUAAAAAUACUGUGGAUUAUAUUGCUUGACUUCUACUUCAGAUUCUUCAUUUCAAGACAUCAUAGUGCUUUGAGUUUGGUAUAUUUUCCUUGUAUGACC